AACGAACGCUGGCGGCAUGCCUAACACAUGCCAGUCGAACGAGACCUUCGGGUCUAGUGGCGCACGGGUGCGUAACGCGUGGGAACCUGCCCUUAGGUUCGGAAUAACUCCCCGAAAGGGGUGCUAAUACCGGAUAAUGUCUUCGGACCAAAGAUUUAUCGCCUUUGGAUGGGCCCGCGUUGGAUUAGCUAGUUGGUAGGGUAAAAGCCUACCAAGGCGACGAUCCAUAGCUGGUCUGAGAGGAUGAUCAGCCAUACUGGGACUGAGACACGGCCCAGACUCCUACGGGAGGCAGCAGUGGGGAAUAGUGGACAAUGGGCGAAAGCCUGAUCCAGCAAUGCCGCGUGAGUGAUGAAGGCCUUAGGGUUGUAAAGCUCUUUUACCCGGGAUGAUAAUGACAGUACCGGGAGAAUAAGCUCCGGCUAACUCCGUG
rnacentral:rRNA from 1 species